UUCUCAGUUUAAUCCUGGGGCGGAAACGAUUCGUUUCCUCUAUGUAUUAAUCGGAUUUUUGAACUUGGAGUAUGGUGCGGGAGCUUGCUCCACCCUGCUCACGGGUUGUCCUGGUAUUGCAGUACCUCCAGGUUCGGCUCACGUUUC
rnacentral:snRNA from 1 species